GGGUUGUGAGGUUAAGCGACUAAGCGUACACGGUGGAUGCCCUGGCAGUCAGAGGCGAUGAAGGACGUGCUAAUCUGCGAUAAGCGUCGGUAAGGUGAUAUGAACCGUUAUAACCGGCGAUUUCCGAAUGGGGAAACCCAGUGUGUUUCGACACACUAUCAUUAACUGAAUCCAUAGGUUAAUGAGGCGAACCGGGGGAACUGAAACAUCUAAGUACCCCGAGGAAAAGAAAUCAACCGAGAUUCCCCCAGUAGCGGCGAGCGAACGGGGAGCAGCCCAGAGCCUGAAUCAGUGUGUGUGUUAGUGGAAGCGUCUGGAAAGGCGCGCGAUACAGGGUGACAGCCCCGUACACAAAAAUGCACAUACUGUGAGCUCGAUGAGUAGGGCGGGACACGUGGUAUCCUGUCUGAAUAUGGGGGGACCAUCCUCCAAGGCUAAAUACUCCUGACUGACCGAUAGUGAACCAGUACCGUGAGGGAAAGGCGAAAAGAACCCCGGCGAGGGGAGUGAAAAAGAACCUGAAACCGUGUACGUACAAGCAGUGGGAGCACGCUUAGGCGUGUGACUGCGUACCUUUUGUAUAAUGGGUCAGCGACUUAUAUUCUGUAGCAAGGUUAACCGAAUAGGGGAGCCGAAGGGAAACCGAGUCUUAACUGGGCGUUAAGUUGCAGGGUAUAGACCCGAAACCCGGUGAUCUAGCCAUGGGCAGGUUGAAGGUUGGGUAACACUAACUGGAGGACCGAACCGACUAAUGUUGAAAAAUUAGCGGAUGACUUGUGGCUGGGGGUGAAAGGCCAAUCAAACCGGGAGAUAGCUGGUUCUCCCCGAAAGCUAUUUAGGUAGCGCCUCGUGAAUUCAUCUCCGGGGGUAGAGCACUGUUUCGGCAAGGGGGUCAUCCCGACUUACCAACCCGAUGCAAACUGCGAAUACCGGAGAAUGUUAUCACGGGAGACACACGGCGGGUGCUAACGUCCGUCGUGAAGAGGGAAACAACCCAGACCGCCAGCUAAGGUCCCAAAGUCAUGGUUAAGUGGGAAACGAUGUGGGAAGGCCCAGACAGCCAGGAUGUUGGCUUAGAAGCAGCCAUCAUUUAAAGAAAGCGUAAUAGCUCACUGGUCGAGUCGGCCUGCGCGGAAGAUGUAACGGGGCUAAACCAUGCACCGAAGCUGCGGCAGCGACGCUUAUGCGUUGUUGGGUAGGGGAGCGUUCUGUAAGCCUGUGAAGGUGUACUGUGAGGUAUGCUGGAGGUAUCAGAAGUGCGAAUGCUGACAUAAGUAACGAUAAAGCGGGUGAAAAGCCCGCUCGCCGGAAGACCAAGGGUUCCUGUCCAACGUUAAUCGGGGCAGGGUGAGUCGACCCCUAAGGCGAGGCCGAAAGGCGUAGUCGAUGGGAAACAGGUUAAUAUUCCUGUACUUGGUGUUACUGCGAAGGGGGGACGGAGAAGGCUAUGUUGGCCGGGCGACGGUUGUCCCGGUUUAAGCGUGUAGGCUGGUUUUCCAGGCAAAUCCGGAAAAUCAAGGCUGAGGCGUGAUGACGAGGCACUACGGUGCUGAAGCAACAAAUGCCCUGCUUCCAGGAAAAGCCUCUAAGCAUCAGGUAACAUCAAAUCGUACCCCAAACCGACACAGGUGGUCAGGUAGAGAAUACCAAGGCGCUUGAGAGAACUCGGGUGAAGGAACUAGGCAAAAUGGUGCCGUAACUUCGGGAGAAGGCACGCUGAUAUGUAGGUGAAGUCCCUCGCGGAUGGAGCUGAAAUCAGUCGAAGAUACCAGCUGGCUGCAACUGUUUAUUAAAAACACAGCACUGUGCAAACACGAAAGUGGACGUAUACGGUGUGACGCCUGCCCGGUGCCGGAAGGUUAAUUGAUGGGGUCAGCGCAAGCGAAGCUCUUGAUCGAAGCCCCGGUAAACGGCGGCCGUAACUAUAACGGUCCUAAGGUAGCGAAAUUCCUUGUCGGGUAAGUUCCGACCUGCACGAAUGGCGUAAUGAUGGCCAGGCUGUCUCCACCCGAGACUCAGUGAAAUUGAACUCGCUGUGAAGAUGCAGUGUACCCGCGGCAAGACGGAAAGACCCCGUGAACCUUUACUAUAGCUUGACACUGAACAUUGAGCCUUGAUGUGUAGGAUAGGUGGGAGGCUUUGAAGUGUGGACGCCAGUCUGCAUGGAGCCGACCUUGAAAUACCACCCUUUAAUGUUUGAUGUUCUAACGUGGACCCGUGAUCCGGGUUGCGGACAGUGUCUGGUGGGUAGUUUGACUGGGGCGGUCUCCUCCUAAAGAGUAACGGAGGAGCACGAAGGUUGGCUAAUCCUGGUCGGACAUCAGGAGGUUAGUGCAAUGGCAUAAGCCAGCUUGACUGCGAGCGUGACGGCGCGAGCAGGUGCGAAAGCAGGUCAUAGUGAUCCGGUGGUUCUGAAUGGAAGGGCCAUCGCUCAACGGAUAAAAGGUACUCCGGGGAUAACAGGCUGAUACCGCCCAAGAGUUCAUAUCGACGGCGGUGUUUGGCACCUCGAUGUCGGCUCAUCACAUCCUGGGGCUGAAGUAGGUCCCAAGGGUAUGGCUGUUCGCCAUUUAAAGUGGUACGCGAGCUGGGUUUAGAACGUCGUGAGACAGUUCGGUCCCUAUCUGCCGUGGGCGCUGGAGAACUGAGGGGGGCUGCUCCUAGUACGAGAGGACCGGAGUGGACGCAUCACUGGUGUUCGGGUUGUCAUGCCAAUGGCACUGCCCGGUAGCUAAAUGCGGAAGAGAUAAGUGCUGAAAGCAUCUAAGCACGAAACUUGCCCCGAGAUGAGUUCUCCCUGACUCCUUGAGAGUCCUGAAGGAACGUUGAAGACGACGACGUUGAUAGGCCGGGUGUGUAAGCGCAGCGAUGCGUUGAGCUAACCGGUACUAAUGAACCGUGAGGCUUAACCUUACAACGCCGAAG
rnacentral:rRNA from 1 species